rnacentral:rRNA from 1 species
UACGAAGGGGGCUAGCGUUGUUCGGAAUUACUGGGCGUAAAGCGCACGUAGGCGGAUCGAUCAGUCAGGGGGGAAAUCCCAGAGCUCAACUCUGGAACUGCCUUUGAUACUGUCGAUCUAGAGUAUGGAAGAGGUGAGUGGAAUUCCGAGUGUAGAGGUGAAAUUCGUAGAUAUUCGGAGGAACACCAGUGGCGAAGGCGGCUCACUGGUCCAUUACUGACGCUGAGGUGCGAAAGCGUGGGGAGCAAACAGG